rnacentral:rRNA from 1 species
UUGGAGGGCAAGUCUGGUGCCAGCAGCCGCGGUAAUUCCAGCUCCAAUAGCGUAUAUUAAAGUUGUUGCAGUUAAAAAGCUCGUAGUUGAAUUUCGGGGUCAGUAGGUUGGUCAUGCCACUGGUAUGUACUGGUCUCACUGAUUCCUCCUUCCUGAUGAGCCGUAAUGCCAUUAAUUUGGUGUUGCGAGGAAUCUGGACUGUUACUUUGAAAAAAUUAGAGUGUUUAAAGCAAGCUAACGCUUGAAUACAUUAGCAUGGAAUAAUGAAAUAGGACGUUCGAUCCUAUUUUGUUGGUUUCUAGGAUUGACGUAAUGAUUAAUAGGGAUAGUUGGGGGCAUUAGUAUUCAAUUGUCAGAGGUGAAAUUCUUGGAUUUAUUGAAGACUAACUACUGCGAAAGCAUUUGCCAAGGAUGUUUUCAUUAAUCAAGAACGAAAGUUAGGGGAUCGAAGACGAUCAGAUACCGUCGUAGUCUUAACCAUAAACUAUGCCGACUAGGGAUCGGAUGAUGUUAAUUUUUUAAUGACUCAUUCGGCGCCUUACGGGAAAC